CGGAAUUCCCCAGAGGAGCCUCGUAGCCGGAGCCCACCGGCAACCCGAUCUCCUCCUCCGGCUCGUCGUGGUCGUCGAAGUCCAUCUCCGGAUCCGUCGACCGGAGAUCCCCGGUCAGAUCUCGAGAUCAGGACCCGGACCUCCUCCCCCCUCCCUUUCUCUAACUCCCUCUUUCUUUUCUCUAACUCUCGGGCUUAGCCUAGCUUUAGCUUAGGGGAGGAGAUAAGAGAG
rnacentral:lncRNA from 1 species